rnacentral:rRNA from 1 species
AGUCUUCGGACUGAGUGGCGGACGGGUGAGUAACACGUGAGAACCUGCCUUAAGGUCGGGGAUAACAGUUGGAAACGACUGCUAAUACCGGAUGUGCCUACGGGUGAAAGAUUUAUUGCCUAAAGAUGGGCUCGCGUCUGAUUAGCUAGUUGGAGUGGUAAUGGCACACCAAGGCGACGAUCAGUAGCUGGUCUGAGAGGAUGAUCAGCCACACUGGGACUGAGACACGGCCCAGACUCCUACGGGAGGCAGCAGUGGGGAAUUUUCCGCAAUGGGCGAAAGCCUGACGGAGCAAGACCGCGUGAGGGAGGAAGGCUCUUGGGUUGUAAACCUCUUUUGUCAGGGAAGAACACAAUGACGGUACCUGACGAAUCAGCAUCGGCUAACUCCGUGCCAGCAGCCGCGGUAAUACGGAGGAUGCAAGCGUUAUCCGGAAUUAUUGGGCGUAAAGCGUCCGCAGGUGGUUGUACAAGUCUGCUGUCAAAGCGCGGAGCUUAACUCCGUAAAGGCGGUGGAAACUGUGCGACUAGAGUUCGGUAGGG